rnacentral:rRNA from 1 species
CCUACGGGAGGCUGCAGUGGGGGAUAUUGCACAAUGGUGGGAACCCUGAUGCAGCGACGCCGCGUGGGUGAAGGAGCGUUUCGGCGCGUAAAACCCUAUCGGCCGGGAAGAAGAUGACGGUACCUGACCACGAAGCCCCGGCUAACUACGGGCCAGCAGCCGCGGGAAUACGUAGGGGGCAAGCGUUAUCCGGAUUUACUGGGUGUAAAGGGGGCGCAGACGGCACUGCAAGCCAGGAGUGAAAGCCCUGGGCCCAACCCCGGGACUGCUCUUGGAACUGCAUGGCUGGAGUACAGGAGGGGCAGGCGGAAUGCGUAGUGUAGCGGUGAAAUGCGUAGAUAUUAGGAGGAACACCGGUGGCGAAGGCGGCCUGCUGGACUGUGACUGACGUUGAGGCCCGAAGGCGUGGGGAGCAAACAGGAUUAGAUACCCCUGUAGUC